UACGUAAGGUGCAAGCGUUAAUCGGAAUUACUGGGCGUAAAGCGUGCGCAGGCGGUUUUGUAAGUCUGACGUGAAAUCCCCGGGCUCAACCUGGGAAUUGCGUUGGAGACUGCAAGGCUGGAGUCUGGCAGAGGGGGGUAGAAUUCCACGUGUAGCAGUGAAAUGCGUAGAGAUGUGGAGGAACACCGAUGGCGAAGGCAGCCCCCUGGGUCAAGACUGACGCUCAUGCACGAAAGCGUGGGGAGCAAACAGG
rnacentral:rRNA from 1 species